CCUACGGGAGGCAGCAGUGAGGAAUAUUGGUCAAUGGACGGAAGUCUGAACCAGCCAUUCCGCGUGCAGGAAGACGGCUCUAUGAGUUGUAAACUGCUUUUGUACAAGGGUAAACCUGAAUACGUGUAUUCAGCUGAAAGUACUGUACGAAUAAGGAUCGGCUAACUCCGUGCCAGCAGCCGCGGUAAUACGGAGGGUCCAAGCGUUAUCCGGAUUUAUUGGGUUUAAAGGGUGCGUAGGCGGAUUGAUAAGUUAGCGGGGAAAUGUCCGAGCUUAACUCGGGAACUGCCUCUAAUACUGGUGAUCUAGAGAGUAGAUGCGGUAGGCGGAAUGUAAGGUGUAGCGGUGAAAUGCUUAGAGAUCAUACAGAACACCGAUUGCGAAGGCAGCUUACCAAUCUAUAUCUGACGUUGAGGCACGAAAGCGUGGGGAGCAAACAGGAUUAGAUACCCGAGUAGUC
rnacentral:rRNA from 1 species